UACGUAGGGGGGCGAGCGUUGUCCGGAUUUAUUGGGCGUAAAGAGCUCGUAGGCGGUUGGGUAAGUCGGGUGUGAAAACUCAGGGCUCAACUCUGAGACGCCACUCGAUACUGCUCUGACUCGAGUCCGGUAGGGGAGCGUGGAAUUCCCGGUGUAGCGGUGAAAUGCGCAGAUAUCGGGAGGAACACCAGUGGCGAAGGCGGCGCUCUGGGGCCGGAACUGACGCUGAGGAGCGAAAGCGUGGGUAGCAAACAGG
rnacentral:rRNA from 1 species